UAAAGAUUCAUCGCUGAUAGAUAGGCAUGCGUUCCAUUAGGCAGUUGGCGGGGUAACGGCCCACCAAACCGACGAUGGAUAGGGGUUCUGAGAGGAAGGUCCCCCACAUUGGUACUGAGACACGGACCAAACUCCUACGGGAGGCAGCAGUGAGGAAUAUUGGUCAAUGGGCGUAAGCCUGAACCAGCCAAGUCGCGUGAGGGAUGAAGGUUCUAUGGAUCGUAAACCUCUUUUAUAAGGGAAUAAAGUGUGGGACGUGUCCUAUUUUGUAUGUACCUUAUGAAUAAGGAUCGGCUAACUCCGUGCCAGCAGCCGCGGUAAUACGGAGGAUCCGAGCGUUAUCCGGAUUUAUUGGGUUUAAAGGGUGCGUAGGCGGCCUUUUAAGUCAGCGGUGAAAGUCUGUGGCUCAACCAUAGAAUUGCCGUUGAAACUGGGGGGCUUGAGUAUGUUUGAGGCAGGCGGAAUGCGUGGUGUAGCGGUGAAAUGCUUAGAUAUCACGCAGAACCCCGAUUGCGAAGGCGGCCUGCCAAGCCAUGACUGACGCUGAUGCACGAAAGCGUGGGGAUCAAACAGGAUUAGAUACCCUGGUAGUCCACGCAGUAAACGAUGAUCACUAGCUGUUUGCGAUACAGUGUA
rnacentral:rRNA from 1 species